CCUACGGGGGGCUGCAGUGGGGAAUAUUGGACAAUGGGGGAAACCCUGAUCCAGCAAUGCCGCGUGUGUGAAGAAGGCCUGCGGGUUGUAAAGCACUUUCGGUUGGGAAGAAAAGUUUGGCGCCAAUACCGCCGAACCUUGACGUUACUGACAGAAGAAGCACCGGCUAACUCUGUGCCAGCAGCCGCGGUAAUACAGAGGGGGAAAGCUGGAAGCGGAACCACUGGGCGUAAAGCGUGCGGAGGGGGGCGAAAUCCCCGGGCUUAACCUGGGAACUGCAUUCGAUACUACAUGGCUAGAGUAUGGUAGAGGGAAGUGGAAUUUCCGGUGUAGCGGUGAAAUGCGUAGAUAUCGGAAGGAACACGAAUGGCGAAGGCAGCUUCCUGGACUAAUACUGACACUGAGGCACGAAAGCGUGGGUAGCAAACAGGAUUAGAUACCCUUGUAGUC
rnacentral:rRNA from 1 species